AUGCCUGCGCCUGCACCACCUUCCCUCACGGAGAUAGGCUUGUCACCUCCUCAUCCUCAGCUUGGGAUUUCUUCUUCUUCUCUUGUUUAGGACCCAGCCUGCAGGUCAAGUUCAGCCUCUCUGUCCACCUUCUGCGAGUGCUCUCCAGCCACUACACACAGGGCAGUCGGUACGUAGUUUCUGCACGUGAGCGAGCUCAGCAGAUCUCUUUUCACCAGCCCUGCCUUACAGAGAGGACAGCUCCUGGGAACACCCUGUUGGGACAUGAGAUGCACACACUGGUGGCCGGCUGUCCAAGGAAACAACUGUAGCUCCUGCCACACACUGUGCUGCUUGCUCCUCUGCUCCCAGAGGAAUCCAUUGCCUUUUGGAUAGAGUCAAAGUCCUUCCCAGGUCCCAGCCCACAGGCCCUGCCCUCCCCUUCACUGCCCUCUCUUCCCAACACUCCCCUCCCCCCAUCUCCUCCAUUCAUAGCUCUUGUAUUGGAACUUGUUUCUUUCUAAUUGCUCCAGCUUCCUUGGCUCUUUCUGUACUUCACAUGUGCUCCUUAGGUGCCCACCUCCAGACCUCAGCCAUGGCUUGUCCUCCUCUUGGACCCACCCCUAAGCAGCCAGCUCAGGUCCCCUCUCAAUUGUUCUCAGCACUGUUUCUAAACUAAUCUCCCCACAUCAGCUCCCUAACCACAGCUCAUGUUGUUCCAUGAUUUCAGUAGUAUUGGUGGUGCCCAUUUCUCUGAGUACCUGUUUGUUUGUUCA